rnacentral:rRNA from 1 species
GUAACGGCGAGUGAAGCGGCAAUAGCUCAAAUUUGAAAGCUGGCGUCUUCGACGUCCGCGUUGUAAUUUGUAGAGGAUGUUUCGGCGAGGGCUCCUGCCUAAGUUCCCUGGAAUGGGACGUCACAGAGGGUGAGAAUCCCGUAUGUGGCGGGCGGCCUUAGCCAUGUGAAACUCCUUCGACGAGUCGAGUUGUUUGGGAAUGCAGCUCUAAAUGGGAGGUAAAUUUCUUCUAAAGCUAAAUACCGGCCAGAGACCGAUAGCGCACAAGUAGAGUGAUCGAAAGAUGAAAAGCACUUUGGAAAGAGAGUUAAAAAGUACGUGAAAUUGUUGAAAGGGAAGCGCUUGCAACCAGACUCGUUCGCAGUUGCUCAGCCCGCCUCUUGGUGGGUGUACUCUUCUGCGGUCGGGCCAGCAUCAGUUCGGGCGGUCGGAUAAAGGUGUCGGGAAUGUAGCACCCUUCGGGGUGUGUUAUAGCCCGGCGCGGAAUGCGGCCAGCCUGGACUGAGGAUCUCGCUUCGGCAAGGAUGCUGGCGUAAUGGUUGUAAGCGGCCCGUCUUGAAACACGGACCAAGGAGUCUAACAUCUAUGCGAGUGUUUGGGUGUCAAACCCAUGCGCGUAAUGAAAGUGAACGGAGGUGGGAACCCGCAAGGGUGCACCAUCGACCGAUCCUGAUGUCUUCGGAUGGAUUUGAGUAAGAGCAUAGCUGUUGGGACCCGAAAGAUGGUGAACUAUGCCUGAAUAGGGUGAAGCCAGAGGAAACUCUGGUGGAGGCUCGCAGCGGUUCUGACGUGCAAAUCGAUCGUCA